rnacentral:rRNA from 2 species
ACGGAAGGCAGCAGUGGGGAAUAUUGCACAAUGGGGGAAACCCUGAUGCAGCGACGCCGCGUGAGUGAAGAAGUAUUUCGGUAUGUAAAGCUCUAUCAGCAGGAAAGAAAAUGACGGUACCUGACUAAGAAGCCCCGGCUAACUACGUGCCAGCAGCCGCGGUAAUACGUAGGGGGCAAGCGUUAUCCGGAUUUACUGGGUGUAAAGGGAGCGUAGACGGCUUUGCAAGUCUGAAGUGAAAGCCCGGGGCUCAACCCCGGAACUGCUUUGGAAACUGUAGAGCUAGAGUGCAGGAGAGGUAAGUGGAAUUCCUAGUGUAGCGGUGAAAUGCGUAGAUAUUAGGAGGAACACCAGUGGCGAAGGCGGCUUACUGAACUGUAACUGACGUUGAGGCUCGAAGGCGUGGGGAGCAAACAGGAUUAGAUACCCUGGUA